rnacentral:sRNA from 1 species
UGACUACACUAUCUCGAGAGAUACCUAC